rnacentral:rRNA from 1 species
UACGGAGGGUGCAAGCGUUAUCCGGAUUUACUGGGUUUAAAGGGUGCGUAGGCGGAUAGGUAAGUCAGGGGUGAAAUCUUCGAGCUUAACUCGGAAAUUGCCUUUGAUACUAUCUAUCUUGAAUAUUGUGGAGGUAAGCGGAUAUGUCAUGUAGCGGUGAAAUGCUUAGAUAUGACAUAGAACACCUAUUGCGAAGGCAGCUUACUACGCAUAUAUUGACGCUGAGGCACGAAAGCGUGGGGAGUCAAACAGGA